GACGAACGCUGGCGGCGUGCCUAAUACAUGCAAGUCGACCUUAGUUGCGAACUGGUUAGUAACACGUGGGUAACCUGCCCAUCAGAAGGGGAAAACAUUUGGAAACAGGUGCUAAUACCGUAUACUGAUUGAUGGACCCGCGGUGCAUUAGCUAGUUGGUGAGGUAACGGCUUCCCAAGUCCACGAUGCAUAACCGACCUGAGAGGUGGAUCGGCAACAUUGGGGCUGAGACACGGCCCAAACUCCUACGGGAGGCAGCAGUAGGGAAUCUUCGGCAAUGGACGAAAGUCUGACCGAGCAACGCCGCGUGAGUGAAGAAGGUUUUCGGAUCGUAAAACUCUGUUGUUAGAGAAGCGGGAUCUAAAGAGAAAGCCACGGCUAACUACGUGCCAGCCGCCGCGGUAAUUG
rnacentral:rRNA from 1 species